ensembl:lncRNA
GGGAAGGUGCCGGCAGCUCCUGAGGGCAGCCAGGGAAGGCCCUGGGGAAGGGGGAAACUCCGUGCGCGGCUCCACCCCGGUGCUUUCUGCUGCACAACAAUGGCGUGGAGGAGCAGCAGUCCCUCCCUGCUGUUACUCACCCUGCCCAGGACCUGCGGUUGCCCCGCAGCCGCUCCCAGCGCCGGGUGCCAGCUCCGUGGGCACGGCGCAGGGCAGGACGCGCGGCUCGGCGCCGGCGAGCACGGGGAUCCCCGGCACUGCAGGAGCCAGACCCACGGCACGGCACGCCAGCCAGCGCAGGGAAUUCCCUCCGUCACCGUCUCAACCAAAAAAAAAAAAUACCAAAAAAAAAAAGGCAACCACACCACCCCGCGCCCUCUCAAGUCUCUACCUGCAGCUCCAGCAGCAUCGCCCCAGCGAGCUCGGCUCCCUGGGGAAGGCGCCAGCACCGUGCUGGGGUCCCGAAGGCGUCCCCUGUGCAGCACCCACGGCCCUGCUGCGGGCGAGGGUGGGUCACGAAAGGAGCCCGAGCCCCGAGGGGCUGGGCACGGCACUGGGCACGGCGCUCCGGGACCGCUGGAGGAAUGGGGAAGCUCUGCGUGGCCGCUCCGGUGCCCUGCCCAGGCGAACGCAGCGGGCACGGGCACCUCCUCCAUCACGGCGGUGCUGCGCCGGCUUCGGCACGGGGCAGGGAAACGACGGAUCUGAGAGCAGAGUCAACGGCUGCGGGGAAGCAAAGGGCACGCGGCUUUUGGGAGGCCUCCAGGACCCCCCCCCCAGCUCUCUCCAUUCAUCCCCAGAGAGCUCGACCUGUGGCCGGGGGGGGACACCUUGCAGCCACCAAAGCCACCCUGAGGGGACUGGGGGGGCAAUUCCUAGGGCCGGGCACCCAAGGGCUGCCCGCAGGACGAAGCCCUGCGGCAGGGUGGGACCGGAGGGACGCGGGGGGGUCCGCUCCUCCCGCUCCCCACGAAAUAAUUCGGGUGCGUUUCGGCGCUCGGGGAAGCGAAAGAUUGAGGUCGAGGGCACCGUCUGGAGCCACGCAGCCAGCACGAGCCCGGCGUGCCACGGAGGAGCGCAGCAGCAUCGCAGCCGCGCGGGGUGGGGACCCGGAGCGGUGCCCCCCAGCACCCCCAGCCCCCCCACCUCCGCCCCACCGGGCGCAAACAGGCUGCGUGGCUUUGAGGUUUGCAAACCGAGCCCCCACCCAAGCUCAGGUCUCCAGAGAUAAGAGGACAAUAACCUAUUGUCCCUCCUCCCGCGCCCUUCCCAGCACCCAGCUUGCCUCUGGCAAUGCGGGGGGGGGCACCCAGCCCCACACCGGCACCCCGGGACCCCCAAACCCCGGCGGGUCGUGGCCGGGGGGUGCCGUGCGCCCACGGGGGAUGCUCGGGGUGCUGGUGGACACCGGGGGUGACGGAGCACUGCGGAUCCAGGACCUCGCUGCAGAAAGCUGGAGGCAGGGGCAGGAGCCGGAGCUGCUGGCCACGGGGGCCACAGCCUCACCGCUUUUCGGUUUUCCCCUAUUUCCCCCAUUUUUCUCUGCCCCCCCCCCCACUCCUGCUGUGGAUGCGAUCGGCUGCCUUGGGCAAGCUGCGAGCAGCCCCCAAGGGAAAGGGAUUUAUUUUUUUUUUAAGGGGGGGGGGUUAAAAAUAAUAAUAAUAAUAAUAAAAAUGAAACACGCGUCACCGAAAGAGCUUUCUCCCAUCCCCCAAAUGCUGUUUUUUUUNNNNNNNNNNNNNNNNNNNNNNNNNNNNNNNNNNNNNNNNNNN